rnacentral:pre_miRNA from 1 species
UUAGUACUUCCUCCGUCCGGAAAUACUUGUCGUAGCAAUGGAUGUAUCUACUUGUAUUUUAGUUCUAGAUACAUCCAUUUAUAUCAUUUUUGUGACAAGUAAUUCCGGACGGAGGGAGUAUAAA